rnacentral:rRNA from 1 species
UACGGAGGGUGCAAGCGUUAUCCGGAUUCACUGGGUUUAAAGGGUGCGUAGGUGGGCAGGUAAGUCAGUGGUGAAAUCUCCGAGCUUAACUCGGAAACUGCCGUUGAUACUAUUUGUCUUGAAUAUUGUGGAGGUAAGCGGAAUAUGUCAUGUAGCGGUGAAAUGCUUAGAUAUGACAUAGAACACCAAUUGCGAAGGCGACUUACUGGACACAUAUUGACGCUGAGGUGCGAAAGCGUGGGGAUCAAACAGG